rnacentral:rRNA from 1 species
UACAGAGGUCUCAAGCGUUGUUCGGAUUCAUUGGGCGUAAAGGGUGCGUAGGCGGCGCGGUAAGUCGGGUGUGAAAUCUUGGAGCUUAACUCCGAAACUGCAUUCGAUACUGCCGUGCUUGAGGACUGGAGAGGAGACUGGAAUUUACGGUGUAGCGGUGAAAUGCGUAGAUAUCGGAAAGAACACCAACGGCGAAAGCACUCUGCUGGGCCGACACUGACACUGAGAGACGAAAGCUAGGGGAGCGAAUGGG